rnacentral:tRNA from 1 species
GGCCUCGUAGCUCAGUUGAUAAAGGGUGCGCGUACAAAGCGUAGGCGGCGUCCAUGCGUGGGUUCAAAUCCCACCGAGGCUA